UGACCCUAGGAUGGGUGGGAGGACUCGCUGAGUUUAAGCAUAUCAAUAAAUGGAGGAGAAGAUACUUUAUAGGAUUCCCUUAGUAAUAGCGAGUGAACCGGGAUCUUCCCAGGAUGGGAAUCGAGCUGUAAUGCAGGAUGAAUUGCAGUCUGGAGAAGCAUGCCCAGUGACAGAUCGGGCCUAAGACUCCUGGAAAGGGGUGCCAGGGAGGGUUAGAGCCCCACUCAUCCUAAACCUUAUCGCAACAUGUGGUGCUAUCACCGAGUCGAGUUGCUUGGGAAUGCAACCACAAUUGGGUGAUAAAUUCUGUCUAAAGUUAAAUAUAUGCGAGAGACUAAUAUCGACCAAGUAUCGUGAGGGAAAGAUGAAAAGAACUUUGAAAAGAGAGUCAAAGUGUGCUUGAAAUUGUCGGGAGGGAAGCGGAUGGGUGCUAAAGUGAAGAGGCUUAGUGUUGUUCCGUUGCUUGGCUCGAGGCGUGGAUCAUUGUAGGCCUUACUGGUGGCUAGAUCCCGGACAAAAAAUGCUUGAGGAGGCAUAGUCAGUACGGCCAAUGAAGCAU
rnacentral:rRNA from 1 species